GACGAACGCUGGCGGCGUGCCUAAUACAUGCAAGUAGGACGCAGUUGCGAACGGGUGAGUAACGCGUAGGUAACUACCUAUUAGAGGGGGAUAACUAUUGGAAACGAUAGCUAAUACCACAUACUAGUAGAUGGACCUGCGUUGUAUUAGCUAGUAGGUUGGGUAAUGGCUUACCUAGGCAACGAUACAUAGCCGACCUGCUAUGGUGACCGGCCAAAAUGGGAUGGAGACACGGCCAAGAAUCCUACGGGAAGCAGCAGUAGGGAAAGUUCGGCAAUGGGGGGCACCCUGACCGAGCAAAGCCGCGUGAGUGAAGAAGGUUUUCGGAUCGUAAAGCUCUGUUGUUAAGGAAGCGGUACUUAACCAGAAAGGGACGGCUAACUACGUGCCAGCAGCCGCGGUAAUAC
rnacentral:rRNA from 1 species